rnacentral:rRNA from 1 species
GUUGGCUUAGAAGCAGCCAUCAUUUAAAGAAAGCGUAAUAGCUCACUGGUCGAGUCGGCCUGCGCGGAAGAUGUAACGGGGCUAAACCAUGCACCGAAGCUGCGGCAGCGACGCUGAUGCGUUGUUGGGUAGGGGAGCGUUCUGUAAGCCUGUGAAGGUGUGUCGUGAGGCAUGCUGGAGGUAUCAGAAGUGCGAAUGCUGACAUAAGUAACGAUAAAGCGGGUGAAAAGCCCGCUCGCCGGAAGACCAAGGGUUCCUGUCCAACGUUAAUCGGGGCAGGGUGAGUCGACCCCUAAGGCGAGGCCGAAAGGCGUAGUCGAUGGGAAACGGGUUAAUAUUCCCGUACUUGGUGUUACUGCGAAGGGGGGACGGAGAAGGCUAUGUUGGCCGGGCGACGGUUGUCCCGGUUUAAGCGUGUAGGUGUGUGUUCCAGGUAAAUCCGGUUCACUUUAACACUGAGGCGUGACGACGAGGCACUACGGUGCUGAAGCAACAAAUGCCCUGCUUCCAGGAAAAGCCUCUAAGCAUCAGGUAACACGAAAUCGUACCCCAAACCGACACAGGUGGUCAGGUAGAGAAUACCAAGGCGCUUGAGAGAACUCGGGUGAAGGAACUAGGCAAAAUGGUGCCGUAACUUCGGGAGAAGGCAC